AAAAAGACAAACUCUGGAUUUUUGUGUCCAACUUUAAUUGUCCGUCUUAUAUGAAAUUUUUUUAUAAUUUAUAUUUUCAUUGUUGUUAGAUGAUAAAACAUGAUUAAUAUUUUAUACGUGACUUGUCUUUUUAAUUUUUUUCAUAACUUUUUUAAAUAAUUUUUUUCAUAACUUUUUUAAAUAAGACGGAUGGUCAAAUGUUAGACACGGAAAUAAGGG
rnacentral:pre_miRNA from 1 species